AGAUAUAUAUGUUGAGAGUCACAUCUGCAAAUAGGGAGCUUUGUUUAAGAAAGAUGGGUUGGUAGUGCAGCUCCCUGAUGGCAUUUAUAUUAAGGACCUGUAUUGAAAAAGACCCAGGGAACUCAGCACCGUGUCUUCCUUUCUCAAAUCGCAAAAGUCCUAGGCAGCCCUUCCUCCUUCCACACUUCAGUACUUUUCUAUUCUUUGCUUUUAUCUUGUUCCGGGAUUGUUAGUUGUAAGAGGGAGAAUCUGGGAGGAAUGUGGCUGCUCCAUUCUAGUGGGAUCCUUUUGAAUUUUACGAGGCAAAUAUCAGAGUAUGUGCAUAUCUUGCAAUACGACUUUUUAAAAUUAAAGCUUAUUUAUGAAAAAAACAUAUAUUUACAUCUUAAAAUCACAGUAACACAUUUUAAAGAAAGUUAUCUAGAGAUAAAUCUGAAUUACAUUUCAGAAACAGUUACUAGAAUGUCAAAAUCACAUGUAAACAUUUUGCAAAGCACACUGAUGGUUUACAAGGAAAUUUGAAUCAGAUCUUGUUGGCACUUUGAGAGAGAUUGUAGUAGAUGGGCUAUGUAGACGCAAAAAUAAACACUUUUCUGAAAUGUUAUGGCAAUGAGAUAGGAGCUUUCCUUUAAAGCAAAAGACCUGUUUUGUCUUAUAGUAUUAUACAAAGAGAAUGUGAAUGUUAAAAUUGGAAGUGCAAGCGAAGUUUUCUUUUGAAAUUUUUCAUCCUAAAACUAUAUCCACAUCACUGAAGCUUUUCUGUUCAAAAGUUUUACAGCAGCACCAGAAUGACAGAAGAUCUGUAUUGGGUUCUGAGUUGGAUACUUACUACCUCUUCACCUGACUUGUCUACACUGUCAACUUGAAUAACCAGUGAAAAAUAAUGAAAUAAUGGCGAUCAACCCUCUUCUGCUCUUGGCAUCUCAGCUUUUCCAAAGCCUUAAAUCUCCAUCUCAACUGUGUGCCCAGCUACAGACUAAAUAUCCAGCCAUUUUCCCAGAGGGAAGUAAUGAUAAGCACAUAAAUUCCGGCCAGUGUGACGCAAGUGAACAUGGAAAAUAAUGAGUCACAAGAAACCUAGGAUUGAAGCAACUCAUAAUAUCACAAAAGAAGGCAUUUUCCACCCUAUUGAAUUCAAGCAUGGCUUUGCAACUUAUUUUGACCAAGAAAUUGUGUGCAGAAAUAACUUAGGAUUUCUGUGGGGAUUCUUUGGGGCCUACUUUUCCAGUCGAACCCUGGUGGCCAACAAUGAUGUCACCAAUGGAGAGUGUUCCAUCAGCUUGCAACCUGAUGAGAGGAUCUACAAUUAAAAAACAAACGAAGAAGCAAACAAAAACUCUGGAUCACACUAAGUUUGAGGUAUAAGGAAAAAUAAAACACAUUUCAAACCACUAA